rnacentral:rRNA from 1 species
UACAGAGGGGGCAAGCGUUGUUCGGAAUUACUGGGCGUAAAGGGCUCGUAGGCGGCCAACUAAGUCCGACGUGAAAUCCCCAGGCUUAACCUGGGAACUGCGUCGGAUACUGGAUGGCUUGAAUUCGGGAGAGGGAUGCAGAAUUCCAGGUGUAGCGGUGAAAUGCGUAGAUAUCAGGAGGAACACCGGUGGCGAAGGCGGUUCUCUGGGCAUUACCUGACGCUGAGGAGCGAAAGCAUGGGGAGCGAACAGG